rnacentral:rRNA from 1 species
CCUACGGGAGGCAGCAGUGGGGAAUUUUCCGCAAUGGGCGAAAGCCUGACGGAGCAAUACCGCGUGAGGGAAGACUGCCUAUGGGUUGUAAACCUCUUUUUUCAGGGAGGAAUAAAAUGACGUGUACCUGAAGAAUAAGCAUCGGCUAACUCCGUGCCAGCAGCCGCGGUAAGACGGAGGAUGCAAGUGUUAUCCGGAAUCACUGGGCGUAAAGCGUCUGUAGGUGGUUUAAUAAGUCAACUGUUAAAUCUUGAGGCUCAACUUCAAAAUCGCAGUCGAAACUAUUAGACUAGAGUAUAGUAGAGGUAAAGGGAAUUUCCAGUGGAGCGGUGAAAUGCGUAGAUAUUGGAAAGAACACCGAUGGCGAAAGCACUUUACUGGGCUAUUACUAACACUCAGAGACGAAAGCUAGGGUAGCAAAUGGGAUUAGAUACCCCAGUAGUCCUAGCCGUAAACUAUGGAUACUAGAUGUUGAACAGAUCGACCUGUGCAGUAUCAAAGCUAACGCGUUAAGUAUCCCGCCUGGGAAGUAUGCUCGCAAGAGUGAAACUCAAAGGAAUUGACGG